AAUCAUUUGCCCUAUAAUUGAGGGCUAGUAUGAAUGGUUUGACAUGAGCAUAGCUGUCUCCUUAAAAUUUUAUAAAAUUUGGUUUUUAGGUGAAGAAACCUAAAUUAAAUUGAAAGACAAGAAGACCCUAUCGAGCUUUAGAAUAAUUAAUUAAAAAAUAUAAAUAAAACAAUUAAUUUUAAUUAAAAACUUUGGUUGGGGCGACUGAGGAACAUAUAAAGCUUCCUUAAUUAAACAAUGCUGAUAAGCAAUGAUCCAGGAAAUCUGAUUAAGAAAAUUAGUUACCGUAGGGAUAACAGCAUAAUCUUUUUUGAGAGCUCUUAUCGAAAAAAAGGUUUGU
rnacentral:rRNA from 1 species